rnacentral:SRP_RNA from 2 species
GCUGGGUGUGGUGGCGUGUGCCUGUAGUCCCAGCUACUGAGGAGGCUGAGUUGGGAGGAUCGCUUGAACCCAGGAGGUUGAGGCUGCAGUGAGGUGUGAUUGCACCACUGCACUUCAGCCUGGGCAACAGAGUGAGAUCCUGUCUCAA